rnacentral:rRNA from 1 species
UAAAACGUAGGAGACAAACGUUAUCCGGAGUUACUGGGCGUAAAGGGCGUGCAGGCGGUUCGCUAAGUCUGGCGUGAAAUAUUUCGGCUUAACCGGGAUAUGUCGUCGGAGACUGGCGAACUAGAGGGUGAUAGAGGCGUGUGGAAUUCCGGGUGUAGUGGUGAAAUGCGUAGAGAUCCGGAGGAACACCAGUGGCGAAGGCGACACGCUGGGUCAUACCUGACGCUAAUACGCGACAGCAUGGGGAGCGAACGGGAUUAGAAACCCCGGUAGUCCAUGCCGUAAACGAUGCCAACUAGAUGUUCGGCUGGGGAAACCCAGCAGGGUAUCGAAGCUAACGCGGUAAGUUGGCCGCCUGGGGAGUACGGUCGCAAGAUUA